UCUGAGCUAUGAUGAUAACGACACUAAGUCACUUUCCUGAAAUCGCUGAUGCUUUUAAGUCACUACCUCAUCUGAGCUCAAA